GGCUUUUAGAUAAUAAUUUAAGGUCUGACCUGCUCAAUGAUUAAUUUAAAUAGCUGCAGUAUCUUGACUGUACUAAGGUAGCAUAAUCAUUAGUUUCUUAAUUGGGGGCUGGAAUGAAGGGUUUCAUAAAAAAAUAGCUGUCUCUUUUAUAUAUAUAUAAAUUUAUUUUUAAGUAAAAAAGCUUAAAUGUUGUUAAAAGACGAGAAGACCCUAUAGAGUUUAAUAUUUUUAUGAUUUGAAAUUGUUUAGGUUAUAAAUUUAUUUUAAUUAUUAAGAAAUAUUUGAUUGGGGUGAUCAAAAAAUUAAUUGAACUUUUUUGUAUAUUUACUUUUUAGGAGGUUGGCUUGAUCCAUUAAUAUUGAUUAUAAGAAUAAAUUACCUUAGGGAUAACAGCGUAAUCCUUUUUUAGAGUUCUAAUCGAUAAAAGGGAUUGCGA
rnacentral:rRNA from 1 species